CUCAUGACCAUGAGAUCAUGACCUGAGAUGAAAUCAAGAAUUGGCCUCUUAACUGACUGAGCCACCCAGGUACCCCUCUGUCUUCAAAAUUCUAAUAACUCCUUUGUGGCAGCCCCUCAGCCCAACAUAAUAUUUUUGUAGUUGUUGUUGUUUACAUGUCUUAUCUUCCUUCCCAGAUUAUAAGGUCACUGAGAGUUCCAACACUGAAUAAAUAUUUGCUGAGUGCUUAUUACACCAGGCAUUGAAGAUACAACUGGGAACAAGUUUCACCAGAAGCUUCCAGACUAGCGGAGGGACUCAAUAAGAUGAGCACUGAUUCAGGAUUGUAAAGGACCAAAGAUGAAGAGGGGCUCUGAUGAAUAACAUGUGGAGGAAAAAAGAUUUAAAUUACCAUUGAACUGAAAUCUAAUGGUAACAUGCAAUGGUGAACUGUGACAUCACCCCGAAAAUGUUUUGUUCAUUUGGGGAUAAUGCACCCAGUUAGCAUCCCCAACUUUGCACCAGAACCUACAGGUCACUAGGCAAGAAUAGAGUACAAAAGUUGAAUCCUAAAGCCAUGUAAUUUCAGGAGGCCAGGAGCUGGUGCAAACUUCCAGGAGGGUAACCAGAUUCCGCUUUUAUCUCCUUAAGUUUCAAGAAGACAAACUUCAGUUCAAAACUUAGCCUGAUAUUUGAGAACUAAUUGCUUUGCUGUGCUCCAUGCAUAAUAAUGGCAUUUUUAAAUCAAAAUCCUCUGUUCUCAGCCAAUAUAGUCUAAAGUGAGCAGCAAAGUUAGUUGGGAACCAAGCAAUAGGACAAGACCAAAUAAGUAAUUCUGUAACUGUUGUUUUGUUUUAAUACAAUCAAAUAAAUUCACUCCAACAGG